rnacentral:rRNA from 1 species
CCUACGGGGUGCAGCAGUAGGGAAUCUUUCACAAUGGGCGAAAGCCUGAUGGAGCAACGCCGCGUGCAGGAUGAAGGCCUUCUGGUUGUAAACUGCUUUUAUCAGCGAGAAAUAUGAUGGUAACUUAUGAAUAAGGAUCGGCUAACUACGUGCCAGCAGCCGCGGUCAUACGUAGGAUCCGAGCAUUAUCCGGAGUGACUGGGUGUAAAGAGUUGCGUAGGUGGCAUAAUAAGUAGCUAGUGAAAUCUGGUGGCUCAACCAUUCAGACUAUUAGCUAAACUGUUAAGCUCGAGACCAUUAGGGGCAGCUGGAAUUUCUAGUGUAGGAGUGAAAUCCGUAGAUAUUAGAAGGAACACCAAUAGCGUAGGCAGGAUGCUGGGACGGGUCUGACACUAAGGCACGAAAGCGUAGGGAGCAAACGGGAUUAGAUACCCGUGUAGUC